UGGGGAAUAUUGCACAAUGGGCGCAAGCCUGAUGCAGCCAUGCCGCGUGUAUGAAGAAGGCCUUCGGGUUGUAAAGUACUUUCAGUCGGGAGGAAGGUGGUAAGGUUAAUAACCUUAUCAAUUGACGUUACCGACAGAAGAAGCACCGGCUAACUCCGUGCCAGCAGCCGCGGUAAUACGUAGGUGGCAAGCGUUGUCCGGAUUUAUUGGGCGUAAAGCGAGCGCAGGCGGUUUCUUAAGACUGAUGUGAAAGCCCCCGGCUCAACCGGGGAGGGUCAUUGGAAACUGGGAGACUUGAGUGCAGAAGAGGAGAGUGGAAUUCCAUGUGUAGCGGUGAAAUGCGUAGAUAUAUGGAGGAACACCAGUGGCGAAGGCGGCUCUCUGGUCUGUAACUGACGCUGAGGCUCGAAAGCGUGGGGAGCAAACAGG
rnacentral:rRNA from 1 species